rnacentral:rRNA from 1 species
UACAGAGGUCUCAAGCGUUGUUCGGAUUCAUUGGCGUAAAGGGUGCGUAGGCGGCGCGGUAAGUUGGGUGUGAAAUCUUGGAGCUUAACUCCGAAACUGCAUUCGAUACUGCCGUGCUUGAGGACUGGAGAGGAGACUGGAAUUUACGGUGUAGCGGUGAAAUGCGUAGAUAUCGUAAGGAAGACCAGUGGCGAAGGCGGGUCUCUGGACAGUUCCUGACGCUGAGGCACGAAGGUCAGGGGAGCAAACGGG